UACGUAGGGUGCGAGCGUUGUCCGGAAUUACUGGGCGUAAAGAGCUCGUAGGUGGUUUGUCGCGUUGUUCGUGAAAACCUGAGGCUUAACCUUGGGCGUGCGGGCGAUACGGGCAGACUGGAGUACUGCAGGGGGAGACUGGAAUUCCUGGUGUAGCGGUGGAAUGCGCAGAUAUCAGGAGGAACACCGGUGGCGAAGGCGGGUCUCUGGGCAGUAACUGACGCUGAGGCACGAAGGUCAGGGGAGCAAACGGG
rnacentral:rRNA from 1 species